UACGUAGGUGGCAAGCGUUGUCCGGAUUUACUGGGCGUAAAGAGCGCGCAGGCGGUCGUUCAAGUCGCGUGUGAAAGCCCCCGGCUCAACUGGGGAGGGUCACGCGAUACUGAUCGACUCGAAGGCAGGAGAGGGUAGUGGAAUUCCCGGUGUAGUGGUGAAAUGCGUAGAUAUCUGGAGGAACACCGAUGGCGAAGGCAGCCAUCUGGACCGACACUGACGCUGAGGCGCGAAAGCGUGGGGAGCAAACAGG
rnacentral:rRNA from 1 species